rnacentral:rRNA from 1 species
AACGAACGCUGGCGGCAUGCCUAACACAUGCAAGUCGAACGAGACCUUCGGGUCUAGUGGCGCACGGGUGCGUAACGCGUGGUAACCUGCCCUUAGGUUCGGAAUAACUCCCCGAAAGGGGUGCUAAUACCGGAUAAUGUCUUCGGACCAAAGAUUUAUCGCCUUUGGAUGGGCCCGCGUUGGAUUAGCUAGUUGGUAGGGUAAAAGCCUACCAAGGCGACGAUCCAUAGCUGGUCUGAGAGGAUGAUCAGCCACACUGGGACUGAGACACGGCCCAGACUCCUACGGGAGGGAGCAGUGGGGAAUAUUGGACAAUGGGCGAAAGCCUGAUACAGCAAUGCCGCGUGAGUGAUGAAGGCCUUAGGGUUGUAAAGCUCUUUUACCCGGGAUGAGAAUGACAGUACCGGGAGAAUAAGCUCCGGCUAACUCCGUG